AAGAGCUCUUGGACUUUAUUGGUGUGUCCAGACAGACACCUUUAAGUUCAAGAUGAUGGAAAAGGAGCGACCACAUACUAGACGUGGAAUUUUAUCGGUGGUCAGCUCAGUUUAUGACCCUUUGGGAUUUCUUGUGCCAGUAACACUUCCAGCCAAACUCAUGCUACAGGAGCUUUGCAGAAAGAAUUAUGGCUGGGAUGACCAGAUUCCCCAAAGCCUCAAACAACAGUGGAUAAAGUGGUUAACAGAUCUUCAACAAGUGAAUGCAUUUAAAGUUGACAGAUGCAUCAAGGCACAGGACUUUGGACAACCUGAUCAUGCUCAAUUGCAUCACUUCUCAGAUGCCAGCGAGAAUGGCUAUGGAACAGUGACGUAUCUUCGACUACAAAACCAGAACAACAUUCAUGUUUCUUUUCUGCUUGGCAAAUCAAGAAUGGCACCUCUUAAACAAAUUACCAUCCCUCGAUUAGAGCUUACUGCUGCUGUCCUGGCUGUUCGAAUAGAUAAGAUGCUUAGAACAGAAUUGCAGCUUCCACUUGACAACUCUUGUUUUUGGACUGAUAGUACUUCAGUUCUAAAAUAUAUCAAAAAUGAAGAAAAAAGGUUUCGGACGUUUGUAGCUAAUAGAGUGUCAGCAAUUCGAGAAGUAACAGAUGUCUCACAGUGGAGAUACAUUCAUACCUCCCAGAAUCCUGCAGAUGAUGCUUCCAGAGGAUUGAAAGUAGAGAAGCUAAUCACAAACAAGCGGUGGUUAAAGGGUCCAGACUUUUUGUGGACAACAAAGGAGGAGUGGCCAGAGGUCAAUUUGGAUUGUAACCUUGUUCCUCAAGAUCCAGAACUAAAAAAGGAGCACAGAACAAAUGCUGUGAUCAUGGAAACAAAUGCAACCAGCCAAUUGAUUGAAUAUUUUUCUGACUGGAAGAGGCUAAAAAUUGCUGUUGCAUGGAUGCUGAAAUUAAAACAUGUCUUAAUGGAAUUGAGCAAGAAAAGGAAGGAAUUGUUGGAAUUGUCAGACCAAUCCUGUGACAUUCAGCAGGAAAUGCAGAAGGUCAAAGCUGCAUUAAGACCACAAAGCUUGUCCAUAGAGGACCUUUCUGAAGCAGAAAAGGCAGUCAUUCGUUUUUCUCAGUUUGAAAGGUUUAACAAAGAAAUUGUUGGACUGUCCUCAGGAAAACGGAAGUGUCAAAAGGCAGCACUAUCCACCGAUUGAACCCGGUCCUGGAAAAUGAAUUGUUGAGAGUUGGUGGAAGAUUGUGUAAGGCAGCAAUGCCUGAAGAGAUUAAGCAUCCCAUCAUUUUAUCCAAAGACCAACAUAUUUCCAAGCUUAUUUUAAAGCAUAUACAUGAACAGGUCGGUCAUGGUGGAAGAAACCAGGUUCUGUCCAAAUUGCGUGAGAAAUAUUGGAUAACUCAUGCCAAUGCAGCAACAAGGAAAAUUCUAUCCAGUUGUGGCUUGUGUAGGAGAUUCAAAGGAAAACUGGGUGAACAAAAAAUGGCCGAUUUGCCUGUUGAAAGGUUGACUCCUGAUCUUCCUCCAUUUACUAAUGUUGGAGUUGAUUACUUCGGGCCAUUUGAAGUAAAACGAGGACGUUCCUUUGUAAAGCGAUAUGGUGUUAUUUUUACGUGCAUGGCUAGUAGAGCCAUACAUUUAGAAGUGGCCUAUUCUUUGGAUACAGAUGCAUGUAUUAAUGCCAUUCGAAGAUUCAUUUGCAGAAGAGGACAAGUUUCUCAUUUGAGAUCAGACAAUGGAACCAAUUUCACUGGUGCAGAAAGGGAAUUAAAAGAAGCAUUGGCAGCUUUAAACCAUGAUAAGAUUCAGAAAGUCUUUCUGCAGGAAGGAAUCAAAUGGAGCUUUAAUGCACCUACAGCCUCCCAUCACGGCGGUGCAUGGGAGCGAAUCAUUAGGAUGGUGAAAAAGAUUCUUACAUCCCUUUUGCACCAGCAGACUUUAGAUGAUGAGGGGUUACACACAGUUUUAUGUGAAGUGGAAGCGAUCAUUAAUGAUCGCCCAAUCACCAAAUUGUCUGAGGAUCCAAAUGACUUAGAGCCUCUUACCCCCAACCAUCUUCUUACUAUGAAAAGGAAACCAGUCUUGCCUCCAGGGCUAUUUGAUAGGACUGACAUGUAUGGAAAAAGAAGGUGGAGACAAGUGCAGUACAUCUCUGACCUUUUUUGGAAAAGGUGGAUUACAGAGUACUUGCCUUUACUACAGGAACGACAAAAAUGGACCAAGAAGAAACGAAAUCUGGUGCCUGGCGAUAUAGUUCUGGUUGCAGAUACCACAGCUCCUCGUAAUUCCUGGGUACUUGGCAGGGUAUUUAAAAUAUACCCAGAUAAGAAAGGGCUGGUUAGAUCAGCACAAGUACAAACCAAAACCAGUCUCUUGACCAGACCAAUAACAAAACUUUGCCUUUUACUAGAGGGGUUAUGAGGUAUCGUAUAUAGGAACACAUUUUGUAUGUAUAUAGUUUGAAGUAUGGUAUUACUUUGGCUCCUUCUAUUGUUGUAUUAGUCAUUAAAUUGUUUAUGCCUUUUGUCAUUAACAAUUAGGGGCCGGUGUGUUGGAGCCAUUUAUGUUUUCUUUAAACUUAUGUUUAUUUUGAUCGCUCACCACUUGGGGGCGCUGCUGGGUUUAUAGGUGGCUGUAAGGUUGUAGUAGGGAUACGGGGGUUGGCGAGGAAGUCAACAGUAUUUUGACCGUAUGGUUAGCGGGACAUUAAAAGAUCUUGAGCGCUGGUACUGCUGCUGUUGGAUUAUGUGCUACCUGCCAACUUAAGAACAAUAAAUGGAUUGGUAUAUCCAAAGUUUCAAAAGUGUCCAGCUCGACAUUUAAUCGUACUUUUCCCUGCAAGAAAAGAAGAAUAAAGAUCAACCCAAGUGAAUGCCCUGUCCACACUAUGGCUGACACCUACCCAGUCCAAAACAUUUUAUCACAGAGGGUAUCAAAAGAG